AUUACAUGUGUUUGUUUUCAAAAUCCAGGCUGUUGAAUGUGGUUAUUGUGACUUUUUCAAAAUGGUCAGAGAAGGGAGAAUUGUCCAGUCCUACAGGGAAUGCCUCAGGGCUGGAAGAGACCUAGUUUGCAUGAAUUCUGUAAAUACCAGAGACCUGUAGUAUCUCCCACAGAGGCAUGAAAUCAGUGGAUGCCUAGGGAAUUGGGAACAAACACAGAAACCUCCAGAGCUGCAGCGAAAAUCCUCUGGCCAAGUCUAUGGUCAGCGGGCGGGCAUUCAUGAGAGAGACAGUAUUCUGCUCUGUCACCCAGGCUGGAAUGCAGUGGUGCAAUCAUAGCUCACUGCAACCUCGACCUCCUGGACUCAAGUGAUCCUCCCACCUCAGCUUCCCAAGUAGCCUGGACUACGCACACACCACCAAGCCUGGCUAAUUUGUUUUCUUUUAUUUUUUGUAGAGAUGGAGUCUAAGUUUCCCAUUCUACAUUUUUUUUUUUUUUAGCUUUGUGGCAGAGGUCAAGAUAAAUACAUUACAUUAUUGGGGAAACACUGUCAGUUCUUCAAUGAAUAUGUGAAAUAAAGCCUGUUGUGUAUAUAUGUAAUUUUUUGUUUAUUAAAUAUGUCACAAAAUAA
rnacentral:lncRNA from 10 species